UGGGGAAUUUUGGACAAUGGGGGAAACCCUGAUCCAGCCAUCCCGCGUGUGCGAUGAAGGCCUUCGGGUUGUAAAGCACUUUUGGCAGGAAAGAAACGUCGCGGGUUAAUACCCCGCGAAACUGACGGUACCUGCAGAAUAAGCACCGGCUAACUACGUGCCAGCAGCCGCGGUAAUACGUAGGGUGCAAGCGUUAAUCGGAAUUACUGGGCGUAAAGCGUGCGCAGGCGGUUCGGAAAGAAAGAUGUGAAAUCCCAGAGCUUAACUUUGGAACUGCAUUUUUAACUACCGGGCUAGAGUGUGUCAGAGGGAGGUGGAAUUCCGCGUGUAGCAGUGAAAUGCGUAGAUAUGCGGAGGAACACCGAUGGCGAAGGCAGCCCCCUGGGAUACACUGACGCUCAUGCACGAAAGCGUGGGGAGCAAACAGGAUUAGAUACCCUGGUAGUCCACGCCCUAAACGAUGUCAACUAGCUGUUGGGGCCUUCGGGCCUUGGUAGCGCAGCUAACGCGUGAAGUUGACCGCCUGGGGAGUACGGUCGCAAGAUUAAAA
rnacentral:rRNA from 1 species